rnacentral:rRNA from 1 species
UACGGAGGGUGCAAGCGUUGUUCGGAUUUAUUGGGCGUAAAGCGCGUGUAGGCGGUCUUCUAAGUCUGAUGUGAAAGCCCUGGGCUCAACCCAGGAAGUGCAUUGGAUACUGGACGACUUGAAUACGGGAGAGGGUAGUGGAAUUCCUAGUGUAGGAGUGAAAUCCGUAGAUAUUAGGAGGAACACCGGUGGCGAAGGCGGCUAUCUGGACCGACAUUGACGCUGAGGCGCGAAAGCGUGGGGAGCAAACAGG